AUUGAACGCUGGCGGCAGGCCUAACCCAUGCAAGUCGAAAGAGUGGCGGACGGGUGAGUAAUGUCUGGGAAACUGCCCGAUGGAGGGGGAUAACUACUGGAAACGGUAGCUAAUACCGCAUACUCUGGGAUGAGCCCAUGUGGGAUUAGAUAGUAGGUGGGGUAACGGCUCCCCUAGGCGACGAUGCCUAGCUGGGCUGAGAGGAUGAUCAGCCACACUGGUACUGAGACACGGCCCAGACUCCUACGGUGGGCAGCAGUGGGGAAUAUUGCACAAUGGGCGAAAGCCUGAUGCAGCCAUGCCGCGUGUAUGAAGAAGGCCUGCGGGUUGUAAAGUACUUUCAGCGGGGAGGCGUUACCCGCAGAAGAAGCACCGACUAACUCCGUGCCAGCAGCCGCGGUAAUUC
rnacentral:rRNA from 1 species